rnacentral:lncRNA from 1 species
GAAAUGCAGUAUCCUGGGAAUUUAAAAACAGCCCAAGUGAUAUGCCAGUGCGAGGCUAUCGUGCGUCAUCUUGGAGUGACAGUUAACAAUACCAGUAUGAAAAAGAGAGUAUUUUACAGUACUUCAAGAAACAUCAGAUGGUGGUGCUUCCCUCAGCCUGUCUCCUGGAGUGAGGACAAGCCGCAGAGUCCCCAGCUCAUCUGA